GGACUACCCGGGUAUCUAAUCCUGUUUGCUCCCCACGCUUUCGCGCCUCAGCGUCAGUAUCUGUCCAGACAGUCGCCUUCGCCACUGGUGUUCCUUCCGAUCUCUACGCAUUUCACCGCUACACCGGAAAUUCCACUGCCCUCUACAGUACUCCAGCCAAUCAGUCCAGGAUGCCAUUCCCAGGUUAAGCCCGGGGCUUUCACAUCCCACUUGAUCAACCGCCUGCGCGCCCUUUACGCCCAGUAACUCCGAUUAACGCUCGCACCCUCUGUAUUACCGCGGCUGCUGGCAC
rnacentral:rRNA from 1 species